rnacentral:misc_RNA from 1 species
GAUGAAGAACGUAGCGAAAUGCGAUACUUGGUGUAAUUGCAGAAUCCCGUGAACCAUCGAGUCUUUGAACGCAAGUUGCGCCCGAAGCCAUCAGGUUGAGGGCACGUCUGCCUGGGCGUCACAUAUCGUUGCCCAAUGCCUAUUGCAGUGCAAUAGGAAUUUCUAGGGCGAAUGAUGGCUUCCCGUGAGCGUUGUUGCCUCGCGGUUGGUUGAAAAUCGAGUCCUUGGUAGGGUGUGCCAUGGUAGAUGGUGGUCGAGUUAGAACGAUACCGAUCAUGUGCAUGCUCCCCAAAAUAUGGCCUCUAUGACCCACACGCGUCUUUUGACGCUCAUGACGAGACCUCAGGUCAGGCGGGGCUACCCGCUGAAUUUAAGCAUAUCAAUAAGCGGAGGA